UGUCAGAAUGUUUUUCUGCUCUAGCCAA
rnacentral:sRNA from 1 species